GUUUUGCAGAACCCUGCUACCUACAGACUCUGCCAUGGAUGUCAUGUAAAGAAACCCCGGAUAUUGUGGAGGACCCGAGGAACUUACGGAGUUUGUUUGUUUUCUGUCCACUGUGACUCCAGAAGUGAUUCUGAAUGGAGAAGACGUAGGACCGGUCAGUGGUAGGAUGGACUGUGCUUGGAAGGUGAGGUCCUUGUGCUUAGGAUGGCAGAAGUGAGCCCGGAUGUCGGGAAGCCAGGAGCAGGGCAGAGGGGCUGCAGCGAAUGAAUCAUAGAAGUUUUUACUAUGGCAUAGUAAACUGAUUAUUGUAGAUGCAUCCCUAUACAGGCACCUGGAGCUCUCAGUUUGGACUAGGCUGGCUGGCAGUAAGCCCCCAGGAUCCUCCUGUUCUCACACUAGGUACUAACUAGGGUUACAAAUUUGAUAUCACAUGAUGUCACAUGAAAUCAGGCCUUGAUGCACAUAGCAAGCACUUUACCAAUUGAGCCGUCUUUCCAGACUCAACAGUUUUGUUUGUUUUUAAAGAUCUAUGCACUAUUAUGUGGGUAUCUACAAACUUUUAGACUUGCUAGUAGAUUUUCUGUUCUGUCUUUAAGAGGCAUCAAACACCAAGAUUGUGAAGACCAUGGCCCAUCCUUAUGCAUUCAAGAGUUGAGUGUGGAUGACUUGGAGCUGAAAAACCCCUUCAGAAGCUUCAUGUGUCACGUGCAUUGAAGCUCUGCAUUAAACCCGCUCGCACAAGUAAAUGCUCAAAGGGACUGAAGGCCAUUAGUACAGUUUUUAUGUCUCUUUCUUUUACUUCAGUUUCUUUAGCCAUCAGGGUCCUUAAUGUUUCUUGUCUUUACUAUAGUAAAGACUCAGAGAAAGGCUACUUUCCAUGAAGUAGUAUGUACUUUCCAUGAAGUAGUAUGUACUUUCCAUGAAGUAGUAUGUACUUUCCAUGAAGUAGUAUGUACUUUCCAUGAAGUAGUAUGUUCUGUGGCCACAUGCCUUUAUUAGUGGAGAUGGGCAUUUUCACUUGAGUGUUUUGUUACAGCCUAUUAAAAAUUUGAUUCAGUAAUGUGAAAGUGAGGAUUAAAUAUCAAAAAAUUACAAUAUUAGAGAAGUAUGUGCUUAACAUGUGCAAAGCCCCAGGUCCAGUCUGCUGCAU
rnacentral:lncRNA from 1 species